rnacentral:misc_RNA from 1 species
AACGCACAUUGCGCCCCUUGGCAUUCCGAGGGGCAUGCCUGUUCGAGCGUCAUUAUACCCCUCAAGCCUAGCUUGGUGUUGGGGUCGCUGUCUAGCGGCCCCCAAAUUCAGUGGCGGUACCUGUAGGUUCUACGCGUAGUAACUUUUCUCGCUAUAGAUCCUUACGAGUGCUUGCCAACAAACCCCAACUUUUUCAGGUUGACCUCGGAUCAGGUAGGGAUACCCGCUGAACUUAA